UAAACGGCGGCCGUAACUAUAACGGUCCUAAGGUAGCGAAAUUCCUUGUCGGGUAAGUUCCGACCUGCACGAAUGGCAUAACGAUGGCCACACUGUCUCCUCCCGAGACUCAGUGAAGUUGAAAUGUUUGUGAUGAUGCAAUCUACCCGCGGCUAGACGGAAAGACCCCAUGAACCUUUACUGCAGCUUUGCAUUGAACUGUGAACCGAUUUGUGUAGGAUAGGUGGGAGGCAGAGAAGAGGCCACGCCAGUGGCCUUGGAGCCGACCUUGAAAUACCACCCUGAUUUGUUUGCGGUUCUAACCACGGACAGUGAUCCUGUCUUGGGACCGUGCAUGGUAGGCAGUUUGACUGGGGCGGUCUCCUCCUAAAGGGUAACGGAGGAGUACGAAGGUACGCUAGGUACGGUCGGAAAUCGUGCUGAUAGUGCAAUGGCAAAAGCGUGCUUGACUGCGAGAGCAACAACUCGAGCAGAUGCGAAAGCAGGUCAUAGUGAUCCGGUGGCUCUGAAUGGAAGGGCCAUCGCUCAACGGAUAAAAGGUACUCUGGGGAUAACAGGCUGAUACCGCCCAAGAGUUCAUAUCGACGGCGGUGUUUGGCACCUCGAUGUCGGCUCAUCUCAUCCUGGGGCUGUAGUCGGUCCCAAGGGUAUGGCUGUUCGCCAUUUAAAGAGGUACGUGAGCUGGGUUUAAAACGUCGUGAGACAGUUUGGUCCCUAUCUGCCGUGGGCGUUGGAAGAUUGACGGGGGCUGCUCCUAGUACGAGAGGACCGGAGUGGACGCACCUCUGGUGUACCGGUUGUCACGCCAGUGGCAUUGCCGGGUAGCUAAGUGCGGAAGAGAUAACCGCUGAAAGCAUCUAAGCGGGAAACUUGCCUGAAGAUGAGUCUUCCCGGAGGUUGAACCUCCCUCAAGAGUCGUCCGAGACCAGGACGUCGAUAGGUCAGGUGUGUAAGCGCUGUAAGGCGUUGAGCUAACUGAUACUAAUUGCUCGUGAGGCUUGAUCCU
rnacentral:rRNA from 1 species